rnacentral:rRNA from 1 species
GAUGAACGCUGGCGGCGUGCCUAAUACAUGCCAGUCGAGCGAACGGACGAGAAGCUUGCUUCUCUGAUGUUAGCGGCGGACGGGUGAGUAACACGUGGAUAACCUACCUAUAAGACUGGGAUAACUUCGGGAAACCGGAGCUAAUACCGGAUAAUAUUUUGAACCGCAUGGUUCAAAAGUGAAAGACGGUCUUGCUGUCACUUAUAGAUGGAUCCGCGCUGCAUUAGCUAGUUGGUAAGGUAACGGCUUACCAAGGCAACGAUGCAUAGCCGACCUGAGAGGGUGAUCGGCCACACUGGAACUGAGACACGGUCCAGACUCCUACGGGAGGCAGCAGUAGGGAAUCUUCCGCAAUGGGCGAAAGCCUGACGGAGCAACGCCGCGUGAGUGAUGAAGGUCUUCGGAUCGUAAAACUCUGUUAUUAGGGAAGAACAUAUGUGUAAGUAACUGUGCACAUCUUGACGGUACCUAAUCAGAAAGCCACGGCUACUACGUG